AUGAGGUGGCUUGAUCUCGGGCUGCCACCCUUUUAUACCAUCGCCAACGGACCACAAUAUCAAAUCUGCAGAUGUGGUCCUCAGUCUUCACUUGCAAACUCCAUAUGGAGCGUUGACAGAGUCCUCUGAGUUUGGCCCAGAAAUCCUAAUCAAUUUCCCCAAAUUUUUUUUCUCAGAAUUUUGGUUGCAGACGGGGAUCGAUCUCGACGGGUUUAAAUGACGGCGGUGAAGGGCAUUAUGUUUACAAUGUCGGCGAGAAUAUCACUCCAAGAUAUAAAAUACUUAAACAAGAUGGGUGAAUUAAGGUCCCUUCAGCUGUCAAGUGCCCUGAUGUCUACAAGAUUUUACAAUUUCAUUCGUUCUUGCUGCUUGAAAGAGAAGAGAAGAGAAAAGAAGUAGUUCGCGGUGGUCAAUUGUGGUGUUGAUGCCAUGGGGCGAUUGCGGUCGAGAUCUCGGAAUUUGUUUGUACUCUAAUUGUAGGGUUGUAAUCGACUGGGAAGCUAACUGCGGGACCCAGGCUUCUUUCUCUAUCCACUUUUAACAAAAGGUUACCCUGUCUACCUUAAGGGAACACCGGCUAGUAUUGAACCAUCGAUUUCUGCGGCUAGGAUUGUGCUGGUGUGGCCGAGCACUCCAUGGAAGAAUUUUCUGGACUAUGAUUUGGAACCUUCGAGAAUGGCGCUUCAUCGGUUCGGCAACACAUCAUCUCUGUUGGGCUUUGGUACGUUACAUGGAGGCUAAGAAGAGGCUUAAGAGAGGUAACAAGAUUCUGAUGGUGGGCUUUGGGGCCGGUUAUGAAUAUAUGCAAUAACUGUGUAUGGAAGGUGUUGAGGGAUUUGGAAUUUGGAUGAUUCCAAUGUGAGGAAAGACGGAUACCCUCCACCAAGCUUGAUCAACCCUUUCAUGCAAAGGUAUAGUUGGCUUAACUAUGAAUUUCUGAGCUUUAUUAGAUUUGAUCAAAUUAGGAAUUAAUGCAAUAGAUCAGUGUGGGCGAUGAUGAUGAUGAUUAAGAUUGAAUGACUUGGAUUAUUUGAGGAAUUAGUUCCUGGGUGCAAGGAGAUCAAUUGAUGUACUUCGAUUGUGGGCUUAUAGUACUACUUAAAGGUUGUUGUGAUUUCUAUAUAUUUGUUACACCCAAUUAUUGAAAUAUAUGCAUCAUUAUUCGCUUA